AUUGAACGCUGGCGGAAUGCUUUACACAUGCAAGUCGAACGGCAGCACGGGGGCAACCCUGGUGGCGAGUGGCGAACGGGUGAGUAAUACAUCGGAACGUGCCCGGUCGUGGGGGAUAACGUAGCGAAAGUUACGCUAAUACCGCAUACGAUCUGAUGAUGAAAGCGGGGGACCUUCGGUCCUCGCGCGAUCGGAGCGGCCGGUGUCAGAUUAGGUAGUUGGUGGGGUAACGGCGUACCAAGCCGACGAUCUGUAGCUGAUCUGCGAGGACGACCAGGCACACUGGAACUGAGACACGGGCCAGACGCCUACGGGAGGCAGCAGUAGGGAAUCGUGGGCAAGGGGCGAAAGCCUGACGGAGAAACGCCGCGUGAGUGAAGAAGGUCUUCGGAUCGUAAAACGCUGUGAUUAGGGAAGAAAAAAUGAGGAAGUAACUAUGCACGUCAUGACGGUACCUAAUCAGAAAGCCACGGCUAACUACGUG
rnacentral:rRNA from 1 species